GUUGCUAACUCAACGGUAGAGUACUCGGCUUUUAAGU
rnacentral:tRNA from 1 species